rnacentral:rRNA from 1 species
UACAGAGGGUGCGAACGUUGCUCGGAAUUACUGGGCGUAAAGCGCGCGUAGGCGGCUUCGUAAGUCGGGUGUGAAAGCCCCGGGCUCAACCUGGGAACGGCACUCGAUACUGCGGAGCUCGAGUACGAGAGAGGGGGGUGGAAUUCCAGGUGUAGCGGUGAAAUGCGUAGAGAUCUGGAGGAACACCGGUGGCGAAGGCGGCCCCCUGGUUCGAUACUGACGCUGAGGUGCGAAAGCGUGGGGAGCGAACAGG